UGGGGAAUUUUGGACAAUGGGCGAAAGCCUGAUCCAGCAAUGCCGCGUGUGUGAAGAAGGCCUUCGGGUUGUAAAGCACUUUUGUCCGGAAAGAAAUCCUUGGCUCUAAUACAGUCGGGGGAUGACGGUACCGGAAGAAUAAGCACCGGCUAACUACGUGCCAGCAGCCGCGGUAAUACGUAGGGUGCAAGCGUUAAUCGGAAUUACUGGGCGUAAAGCGUGCGCAGGCGGUUUGCUAAGACCGAUGUGAAAUCCCCGGGCUCAACCUGGGAACUGCAUUGGUGACUGGGCAGGCUAGAGUAUGGCAGAGGGGGGUAGAAUUCCACGUGUAGCAGUGAAAUGCGUAGAGAUGUGGAGGAAUACCGAUGGCGAAGGCAGCCCCCUGGGCCAAUACUGACGCUCAUGCACGAAAGCGUGGGGAGCAAACAGGAUUAGAUACCCUGGUAGUCCACGCCCUAAAACGAUGUCAACUAGUUGUUGGGGAUUCAUUUCCUUAGUAACGUAGCUAACGUGUGAAGUUGACCGCCUGGGGAGUACGGUCGCAAGAUUAAAACUCAAAGGAAUUGACGGGGUCAUAGCUGUUUCCU
rnacentral:rRNA from 1 species